UCUUAUUUUGUCAAAAAAGUGUCAGCGUGAAAGAAAAAAGAGACUGCGAGUAUGGGAGCGGAGUGGGAAAUGGAUGGAAAAAGGGUCCUGGCAAGCAGUCCUUGUCUGGCUUCCGGUUUCCUGCAGAAUCUGUGCCCCCAUCUUCGCCAGCUAGGACCAGCGCUUUGUUGACAGCAAUUGUCACAAUUACAAGUUGAUAUGUCCUGGGCAGCUGACUUGCCAUAGCAUAUAUAUCCUGGCUCCGGCUAAGUCAACUGAUUUAAGUGAUAUUUAUGCCAGACGCCGCGGCGAGCGUUCAAUGGAGCAAGUGAUAAGCGUGCACCACUUGACGGACAACUAUGCGGAUGGAGGGGCGACUGGGAAAGGGGCCUCUGCGGCAGUCGUCGAGUCCUGGAACUCGUCCUGAUUAAUGGCUGAUGCUUGCCAAAGGAUAAGGCACGGCCAGCUCUGGCUGGAGGUGUUGGCCGCCAGUUGUCAGUCGCCAGUCGCUGGAUGAUGGUAUAAAUUUCGUAAUGUUAACACGACGUAAGACACAAGUUGAAGUGCCGCUAGUUGCAUUUGGACUGGCAAAUGUUUUCCCACUAAUUUUUACAUGUCCACUGAUUAAGGGAUGUGAAGGGCAUGUGGGGCAGUGGCAAGCUUCAGAGGGUU
ensembl:ncRNA lncRNA:CR44280 long non-coding RNA:CR44280